CCUACGGGUGGCAGCAGUGGGGAAUAUUGCACAAUGGGGGGAACCCUGCUGCAGCGACGCCGCGUGAGCGAAGAAGUAUUUCGGUAUGUAAAGCUCUAUCAGCAGGGAAGAAAAUGACGGUACCUGACUAAGUAGCCACGGCUAACUACGUGCCAGCAGCCGUGGUAAUACGUAGGGGGCAAGCGUUAUCCGGAUUUACUGGGUGUAAAGGGAGCGUAGACGGAUGUGCAAGUAUGGAGUGAAAGGCAGUGGCUCAACCUGUGAACUGCUUUGGAAACUGUGCGGCUUGAGUGUCGGAGAGGCAAGGGGAAUUCCUAGUGUAGCGGUGAAAUGCGGAGAUAGUAGGAGGAACACCAGUGGCGAAGGCGGCUUGCUGGACGAUGACUGACGUUGAGGCUCGAAAGCGUGGGGAUCAAACAGGAUUAGAUACCCUUGUAGUC
rnacentral:rRNA from 1 species